AAGACUAUAGACCUGCGGAGUACCUGGGAGGGAUCAUUACCGAGUUUACAACUCCCAAACCCAAUGUGAACGUUACCAAACUGUUGCCUCGGCGGGAUCUCUGCCCCGGGUGCGUCGCAGCCCCGGACCAAGGCGCCCGCCGGAGGACCAACCAAAAACUCUUUUGUAUACCCCCUCGCGGGUUUUUUAUAUCUGAGCCAUCUCGGCGCCUCUCGUAGGCGUUUCGAAAAUGAAUCAAAA
rnacentral:misc_RNA from 1 species